AAACACGGUCCCUUGUGUUAAAAUUGCAUGUGUUGAACUACUGUACAGUAAACUGUUGAAUUGUUGAAGGUGUAAAGACAUUAGACAGUAUAGUAUAGUUGUGAUUUUGUUGUUAAAACACGUUUUAUUAUGUAUCGCUAUCAGGGGAGCUCCAGUAAGGAUCGACACUUAAGUUACGUCUCUAAAGUGGAUUUACAUAAACCACACAUCUUAAAGACGCUUAUUUUAAAUGUCUAUUUACAUCUGACAGGAAAAUCUUCAAUAAGUAUUGUAGAAGUGCACAUCACAACAUAUAAUAGACAUCUGAGUGAUGUAUGUGUGCUAUUAUGUAGAACAAAUCUAUAACUAAACAUACGUUAUCUAUUUUAUUUGUCCAUAGUACUGUUGAUAAAUUGAGGAACAUUUAUGUUGGAUAAAAAGUUUAAACAACCUCAACAUGUAAAUGUAGUGUUGAGCUCAUAAAUCACAGAGGUUAUGUGAAUCUUGUCAGGAUGUUACAGGGACAGAAGAACAUGUGUGUGUGUGUGUCAAGUGGAGAGUGGCUCAUGAUGCUGAUGAAUGCAGCCAUUAAAGGCUUUGACUUUUGUGGCGGAGUAGGACCUGCAAGGAAAGAUGAUGGCGGCAUUUGUGAAAAGCGUUUUUGUCUUCUAAAUAAUACUGAAAUCAAAUGACAUUGUGCUGUUAAAAUGACUGCUUUUGUGUUAUGUUUGUGCAUUUUUGUAGGAUCUGAAAUGUCAGCAGACUGGUGUGAGCACUGAGGAUGAAGAGCCCAGAGUUGAAUCCUGGAAAUGGUGCCAUGGAUGAGUCCCUCCAUCCCUCCACCUGCCCUUAUUUCCUCAGAUUGGGAAGCACAACACAUCACGCAACAACCUCCGGCACGAAGGAACGGCUCACCUCUGGCGGUCAGCUGAUUCAUCAGAAUAAAGCCGCUGAAUGGGAACCGCUGUGUUGAGAUGGCAGUAGGAUGGGGUUCAGCGCCUGUAGCCUACAUACAUGAUUGUAGUUUGAAUAAAGCUUUGUUUCAUGUGUUGACUUGAA